CUUCAAAUAAUUUGGAAGAAUCAAUUACUUUUCACUCACCGGAACGAUCGAAUUCUUAUGAUUACUUUACUUAUACUUCAGAAAAAAAGUACAACGAUGUAUUUAAUAAAGUUAAAUGUUUAGAGGAACAACUACGAGAAAA
rnacentral:lncRNA from 13 species